rnacentral:lncRNA from 1 species
CUAUGGCCAUGGGGAGGAGGUGGCAUGGAGCUGGAGGACAUGGGGACUGAGCCAUGGACAUGGGGACAAGGUGCCACCAAGCCUUGGGGACACAAGGACUGUGCCAGGGACAUGGGGACAAGGUGCCACCAAGAUGGAGACAUGGACUGAGCUGUGGACAUGGGGACGAGGUGCCACCAAGCCUAGGGGACAUCCAGAUGGCACCAUGGGUGAGGGGAGGAGGUGACACCAAGCCUUGGGGACACAAGGUCUGUGCCAGGGCCAUGGGGACGAGGUGCCACCGAGAUGGAGGAGGCAAGAGCUUCAGCCAAAACUCCCACCUGGUGUGGGACAUGGGGACUGAGCCACCCAGGUGGCACCGUGGACAUGGGGACAAGGUGCCACCAAACCUUGGGGACACUCGGUCUGUGCCAGGGCCAUGGGGACGAGGUGCCACCGAGCUGGAGGAGACAUGGGAUGAGGUGCCACCAAGCCUUGGGGACACCCAGGUGGCACCGUGGACAUGGGGACAAGGUGCCACCAAACCUUGGGGACACUCGGUCUGUGCCAGGGCCAUGGGGAUGAGGUGCCACCAAGCCUUGGGGACACCCAGGUGGCACCGUGGGCAUGGGGAGAAGGUGCCACCAAACCUUGGGGACAUCCAGAUGGCACCGUGGGCGAGGGGAGGAGGUGACACCGAGCUGGAGGAGACGUGGGACGAGGUGCCACCAAGCCAUGGGGGACAGCCAGAUGGCACCGUGGGCAAGGGGAGGAGGUGCCACCAAACCUUGGGGACAUCCAGAUGGCACUGUGGGCCAGGGGAGGAGGUGACACCGAGCUGGAG